rnacentral:rRNA from 1 species
GUAGGUGGCAAGCGUUGUCCGGGAAUUAUUGGGGCGUAAAGCGCGCGCAGGCGGUUCUUUGAGUCUGAUGUGAAAGCCCACGGGCUCAACCGUGGAGGGUCAUUGGAAACUGGAGAACUUGAGUACAGAAGAGGAAAGCGGAAUUCCACGUGUAGCGGUGAAAUGCGUAGAGAUGUGGAGGAACACCAGUGGCGAAGGCGGCUUUCUGGUCUGUAACUGACGCUGAGGCGCGAAAGCGUGGGGAGCAAACAGGAUUAGAUACCCUGGUAGUCCACGCCGUAAACGAUGAGUGCUAAGUGUUAGGGGGUUUCCGCCCCUUAGUGCUGCAGCUAACGCAUUAAGCACUCCGCCUGGGGAGUACGGCCGCAAAGGCUG